AGCCUUGUGCAGUGGCAAUAUCGCAAGCAAUGAAGUCACAACUGAGCUGUGAUUAUUGCUAGUUGAAAACUUUAACCAAUAACUCGCCCUCUGUGCAAGGUACCGCAAGGUUCUCUGUAACAGUGAGGCAAUUUUUUUCAGGUCCCAAAAGGAC
rnacentral:snRNA from 1 species